GCCAAGGUAGCUGGUUGUUGCUCUUCCCUUCUUAAACACCUGUCUCUACAUGUGCAGUUCUUCCUGUUCCUCAAGGUCAACUUGAAUACCUUCACUCAGCUAGAACCCUGAAUCCAUAGCACUUUCCUUACACUUUACUUAUAGCGUUUAGGGGGGAUACCUGAAUUAAAUACAUAAAGCCUCUCGAGUACUGAGACUAAUGUCUAGCAGUUUAGACAGACGUAAUCUCCAAGACAUAGGUUGACCACUGAACAGAGUUGAAAUACAUGCCAAUUAAAAAGGGAAGUUGGAUAAAGAUAUUUAGAUUGAGAAAAUACCUUUGUCUUGUUUUCCUCCCCAAGUUCAAAACAGUGACAGUAAAGAAAAUGAAAUCUAAUGGUGAUGCAAAACCAAAGUCAGUGUUUUCUGGGGGAAUUUCUGAGAUUUGGAAACAGGAUCUGAUAUAGAAGACCAGAGGAGAACAUAGCUUUAUAGAAAUGAAGAACUACAGGGGAGCCCCAGACUGGUAGAGAAUCUCGGGCAGAUUCCUUGGGGAGGUGGCUGGAUAGUCUGGCCUGUCCCCACUUGGCCUAGGCAGCAGGCAGCAACAGCAGCUGUUCUCAGGCCAAAGCACUGAAUGUGGGCGUUGGGCCAGAGAAGACCACAAAACCAUAAAUAGCCACAGAUCCCCAAUGGGGUGGCGAGCCCUCAGGCACAGACAGCAAGCUACCAACCUCCCUCAUGUAGGCUGUGUCCCAGCCUUCUUCACGGUCAGCAGAAGCAGGCUGCCUGGGACUGAACCAGCAAAGGCACAGUAAGGAACAAAGGCGAGUAGACAGUCAAUUCCUACGAAUUUGUGGAAAGACACUCUACAAAACGACAAAUCCAGUGCCCUUUGAUUGGAGGACAUGCAAUUCCAAAAACUACCUGGGGAUCUAAAAUAUGUUCCUCAGACAGUCCUUGGCAACCAGUGAGUGUCAUAAAAAUAAGCAGAUGAGUUAAGCAGAAUGAAUUCAGACAGGAUGAAGGGAUGAGGCAGAGGGUGGGUUGGGGUCCUUUCCAGAACACAGUGCAGAGGUCAGUAGAGCAAGGUAGGAGGGAGAGAUCAAGAUGUGGCAGAGAGAUUCUAAGUUUUCAUGUCCAUCUGUACAACUUUAAGACCAGCAGAGAAGAAACAAGACAAGUAAUUGACUCAAGGGUAAUAAAAUAACCUAUGGGCUUUCUUGGGGAAUGGAGGUCAUUCAUUUAAAUAGGACAAUAAGGCAAACUUAGGUGACUAAGAACAGACAAAAUAGCAAUAACUCAAAUUGGCUCAUCGAUCCACAGGGAGAUGACGGGCUCAAUAAGAUGAAUUUUCUUCCUAAGCCAACAUGUAAAUGCCAACGUUAAAAAAAAAAAAGACAUUUAUGACCAGCUUAAUAAAUGAGUUCUCUUAGAGACCUGACUCCAAAUACUUCUUGGCUGUUCACCAAAAUUUAAAUGUAUCCUUGAGGAAAUUUUUUUUGUCACAGUAGGAUAUUGAAAAGCAUAUAGGCUUCAUUUCAAAAUGUGGUAGACACUCAACAUUUAAUCCUCAGAAAAGUCCUGUGAAGUAGUGUCCUUAUAAGGAUGAAGAAACAGAAACACUAAGUAGCUAAGUAACUUGCCAAAGGAUCACACAGCUAAUAUAUGGUAGAACUGACUGAACCCAGGCAGUCUGGCUCGACCUUAACCCCACAUCAGGUUCUGAGACAACAAACAAGGUCGGAAAGUGACUGACAUGACUCUGACUUACAAGCUUUCCACUCGGGGGAGGGGUGCGUUUUACAGAAAUGGCAUUAGAACUUGCGUCUAAGCACCUCACCAAGAUAGUGAGACAGCCAGAUCAGGCUCAGCCCUACAUUUAGGGGAACAGUGUAAAUUGCUAACAACCUUUUUAGAAAGUAGUAUUGCAGGGUAUGUAUAUCAAGGAUGUUUAAAAUGCUCUUAAUCUUCAAUCCUAAAGGAAAUUAACCCUGAGUAUGCAUUGGAAGGACUGAUGCUGAAGCUCCAAUACUUUGGCCACCUGAUAUGAAGAGCCGACUCAUUGGGAAAGACCCUGAUGCUGGGAAAGAUGGAGGACAGGAGGAUAAAGGGGUGACAGAUGAUGAGAUGGUUGAAAUAGCAUCACCAACUCAAUGGACAUGUGUUUGAGCAAAUUCCGGGAGACAGUGAAGGAAUCCUGGCAUAUUGCAGUCCAUGGGGUCUCAAAGAGUCAGACACAGCUUAGCUACAGAAAAACAAUCUUCAACCCAAUGUCAGACUGUGGGGUCUUCUUAUCCCACCUUGUUCCAAGUAGCAGAGACCCGAAUUAAAAACUCAGAACAAUGGGAAAAUCUCAUAUACUUAUGUACCCCAUGCUUAUCAUCUCUAUUCUUUGAAAUGCCUUUGUUGCUAAGUAUUCAAUGAUUCCAUGGAUGGAGGAGCUGCUAGGCUAUAGUCAUGGGGUCGUAAAGAGUCAGACACGAGUGAGUGACUUCACUUUCUUUCUUUCUGUAGUUCCUUUUGGAGAAGGAAAUGGCAACCCACUCCAGUGUUCUUGCCUGGAG
ensembl:lncRNA